rnacentral:lncRNA from 1 species
UCUCUCCAGUGAUCUAAUGUGAGAAGCACAGAAAGGAAUACCCCCAAAUCUCUACGUGAACAGCAGAAAUGUAAGUUUCCUUGCCUUUAUCAGACACGUCUCUUCAGAAGAUGAAAGCAGCACAUUCUCCGGCUUCAGAUCCCGGUGUAUGAUUCCAUUGUCAUGAAGAUACUAGAUAUACACAAAUAUACAUAUAUGAAGAAAAGCUGACUAUUAUCCUUCUUUAAGAUAUAUGCUUUCCAGUUUUUCCAACAGCAGUGGCAGGAUAACUGAAAUUGCUAUUCAAGAGACAUGCAUGCAUUUAAAGCUACGCAGCUUGUGACCUUUUUUAAAGCCAAAGAAGUUCACACUUCAGUUUGCAAAGACCAAAAUGCUUCAUCAGGAUGCACAGUACAGCACUUAAGCACUAAUUGUUUG